CAGUCGCCGCGGUAAUACGAAGGGUGCAAGCGUUACUCGGAAUUACUGGGCGUAAAGCGUGCGUAGGUGGUGGUUUAAGUCCGUUGUGAAAGCCCUGGGCUCAACCUGGGAAUUGCAGUGGACACUGGGUCACUAGAGUGUGGUAGAGGAUAGUGGAAUUUCCGGUGUAGCAGUGAAAUGCGUAGAGAUCGGAAGGAACAUCUGUGGCGAAGGCGACUAUCUGGGCCAACACUGACACUGAGGCACGAAAGCGUGGGGAGCAAACAGGAUUAGAGACCCGCGUAGUCCCUGUCUCUUAUAC
rnacentral:rRNA from 1 species